rnacentral:rRNA from 1 species
AGAUUGAACGCUGGCGGCAUGCUUUACACAUGCAAGUCGAACGGUAACAGGCCGCAAGGUGCUGACGAGUGGCGAACGGGUGAGUAAUGUAUCGGAACGUGCCCAGUCGUGGGGGAUAACGCAGCGAAAGCUGCGCUAAUACCGCAUACGAUCUACGGAUGAAAGCGGGGGACCGUAAGGCCUCGCGCGAUUGGAGCGGCCGAUAUCAGAUUAGGUAGUUGGUGGGGUAAAGGCUCACCAAGCCAACGAUCUGUAGCUGGUCUGAGAGGACGACCAGCCACACUGGACUGAGACACGGCCCAGACUCCUACGGGAGGCAGCAGUGGGGAAUUUUUGGACAAUGGGCGCAAGCCUGAUCCAGCAAUGCCGCGUGCAGGAAGAAGGCCUUCGGUUGUAAACUGCUUUUUGUACGGAACGAAACGGUCCUAGUUAAGUACCGUGGGCUAAUGAACGUUACCGUAAGAAUAAGCACCGGACUAACUACGU